UACGUAGGGUGCGAGCGUUGUCCGGAAUUACUGGGCGUAAAGAGCUCGUAGGUGGUUUGUCGCGUUGUUCGUGAAAUCUCACGGCUUAACUGUGAGCGUGCGGGCGAUACGGGCAGACUGGAGUACUGCAGGGGAGACUGGGAAUUCCUGGUGUAGCGGUGGAAUGCGCAGAUAUCAGGAGGAACACCGGUGGCGAAGGCGGGUCUCUGGGCAGUAACUGACGCUGGAGGAGCGAAAGCGUGGGGAGCGAACAGG
rnacentral:rRNA from 1 species